AUUGAACGCUGGCGGCAUGCCUUACACAUGCAAGUCGAACGGUAACAGGUCUUCGGACGCUGACGAGUGGCGAACGGGUGAGUAAUACAUCGGAACGUGCCCAGUCGUGGGGGAUAACUCAUCGAAAGAGUAGCUAAUACCGCAUACGAUCUGAGGAUGAAAGCGGGGGACCUUCGGGCCUCGCGCGAUUGGAGCGGCCGAUGGCAGAUUAGGUAGUUGGUGGGAUAAAAGCUUACCAAGCCGACGAUCUGUAACUGGUCUGAGAGGACGACCAGCCACACUGGGACUGAGACACGGCCCAGACUCCUACGGGAGGCAGCAGUGGGGAAUUUUGGACAAUGGGCGAAAGCCUGAUCCAGCAAUGCCGCGUGCAGGAUGAAGGCCUUCGGGUUGUAGACUGCUUUUGUACGGAACGAAAAAGCUUCUCCUAAUACGAGAGGCCCAUGACGGUACCGUAAGAAUAAGCACCGGCUAACUACGUGCCAGCAGCCGCGGUAAUACGUAGGGUGCGAGCGUUAAUCGGAAUUACUGGGCGUAAAGCGUGCGCAGGCGGUUAUGUAAGACAGAUGU
rnacentral:rRNA from 1 species